AUGCAGGUAGCAUUUUCCUUAAAAAUGUGGGUUUCUCUCAAAAGCAACCCCUGUGUUCUUUUUGCACACAUGCCCACAUGUUGGAGCAUUGCUGUGAAUCCAGAGGGGCCCUGCUCCACGGCACAGCAGAAGGGAGCAGCUCCUUUUUUCCAGAGCUGCUGGGACCUGCAGGAAGGCAGCAAUGCAGCGCACAGCUGCCAGCAUGGUGUCAGGGCCAGGGACAGUGGGACAAGGCGGUCAGGAUGCAGCGAGGGCUUUGGGGACAUGGAAACAGGAAACAACAGGAAACAAGAGCUUUCCCCGACACCAGCACAUCCUGACAGCACAGCAAAUCUGUGUCCGUCCUGGGGAACUCACCUGCUUCAGCCCCGGAGCUGUUCUGGGCACGCUGCUGGCUCACGGUCAGCCUGUUGGCCACCGUUGGCCUUUGGCCAUAGGGACACACUGCUGGCUCACAGCCACCCGUUGGCCACCAGGACACCUGGGUGCUUGUCCACAGAGCUCCUUUCCAGCAGCUCAGCCCUCAACCUGUACUCAUGUGUGUGGCUGUUCCUCCCCAGGCGCAGGACCCUGUGCUUGCUCGUGUUGAACCUCAUCAGGUUCCUCUCUGCCCGGCUCUCAGCCUACCUGGCUCUCGCUGAAUGGCAGCACAGCCUUCUGCUGAGUCACUCUCCCCAGCUUUGCAUCAUCCUUCCCUCUUCUGUUAAGCCCCACUCUAGCGGUUCACAUUCUUCAGUCUUAAAAUUUACAGGCUGCACCAGGCUUCAGGUAGCUGUGGCAGAGGCAGCCCAAGCAGAGAGAGACUGCAAUAGGCAGCAUCCAGGGCAUCCCUAUGGACCAGCACGGAAAGCACAAGGAACAUUUCAGCGCUCAGCAAAAGGAGCGAUGGCAAAACCUCUAUUUUACUUGGCCGUGGUUGGCUUUAGCAAACACUGUACCAAGCCUCAAGCCUCUGGCAAGCACCCAGCAGCGACCUCCAGGCAGGGGCCCAGCUCCUUCCUGCACACACAGGGAGUGGUGCUGCCAUGCCCUGCUCACAGCCCUGUGUGCUGCUCACAGCCAGAGCCAGGCCCCUGCACCGCAGAGCUCCGUCCCCGUCCCACAGCAUUAGCCUGGCACCGCUGCCGUGGAGCACUUUGGAGUAUUGUUUGCACAGCAGUUCCAUUUCUAAAAUUACAAAAGCGUUUCUCUCGGUUUGGUGGCAGCUUUUGUUCCCUCGAUGCUCGCAGCAGGUAG
rnacentral:lncRNA from 1 species